UACGUAGGUGGCAAGCGUUGUCCGGAAUUAUUGGGCGUAAAGCGCGCGCAGGUGGUUCCUUAAGUCUGAUGUGAAAGCCCACGGCUCAACCGUGGAAGGUCAUUGGAAACUGGGGAACUUGAGUGCAGAAGAGGAAAGUGGAAUUCCAAGUGUAGCGGUGAAAUGCGUAGAUAUUUUGGAGGAACACCAGUGGCGAAGGCGACUUUCUGGUCUGUAAACUGACACUGAGGCGCGAAAGCGUGGGGAGCAAACAGGA
rnacentral:rRNA from 1 species